GACGAACGCUGGCGGCGUGCUUAACACAUGCAAGUCGAACGGAAAGGCCCUGCUUUUGUGGGGUGCUCGAGUGGCGAACGGGUGAGUAACACGUGAGUAACCUGCCCUUGACUUUGGGAUAACUUCAGGAAACUGGGGCUAAUACCGGAUAGGAGCUCCUGCUGCAUGGUGGGGGUUGGAAAGUUUCGGCGGUUGGGGAUGGACUCGCGGCUUAUCAGCUUGUUGGUGGGGGAGUGGCUUACCAAGGCUUUGACGGGUAGCCGGCCUGAGAGGGUGACCGGCCAAAUUGGAGCGGCGACUCGGCCGAGUCUGCGAGGCGAGGGAGUAGGAGGGAAUGGUGCACAGGGGGUGGAAGCCUGACGCAGGAGCGCCGGGGGCGGGAUGCGGGCCGUCGGGUGGCAGACUGCGUGCGCCUGUGACGAGUGUUGAGAUACUAGAAGGAAUAAAGAACCACCGGCUAACUACGUGCCAGCAUCCGCGUUCAUAAUCAAAAUCCCCCGCUUGACC
rnacentral:rRNA from 1 species